GGAAGUAAAAGUCGUAACAAGGUUUCCGUAGGUGAACCUGCGGAAGGAUCAUUAACGUGCCGUGGGGGGCCUCAAUCAGGGUUUCCGGUCUCCUUAACUGGCCAUCUUUGUUUAUAUUACCUGUUGCUUCGAUGGGCUUGCAGCGAUGCUGCUGGAGGGGUUCAGCCUUCCGGGCUCGUGCCUGUCGGAGACGUUGAAUUUCCAGUUUUGAACUUUGACGUCUGAAAUCUAUUAUAAUCAGCUAAAACUUUUAACAAUGGAUCUCUUGGUUCCGACAUCGAUGAAGAACGCAGCGAAAUGCGAUAAGUAAUGUGAAUUGCAGAAUUUCGUGAAUCAUCAAAUCUUUGAACGCACAUUGCGCCCUCUGGUAUUCCGGUGGGCAUGCCUGUCCGAGUGUUAUUUCAACCCUCAAGCGUGACUUGUGUUGGGCUCGCGUCCUUCUGGACGUGCCUGAAAUUCAGCGGCAGCGUCGCGUUUGUGCCCGAGCGUAUGGGGUUUCAUCAGGUUUCAUCACGCUCUGAGGCCUGGCCGGCUCUGGCCUUAUUUGAAUUUGAAGAGAUUGUCUUAUCGACUCUAUUCUCUUCGACUAGGUUGACCUCGGAUCAGGUAGGAAUACCCGCUGAACUUAAGCAUAUCAAUAAGCGGAGGA
rnacentral:rRNA from 1 species